AUUGAACGCUGGCGGCAUGCCUUACACAUGCAAGUCGAACGGUAACAGGUCCUCGGAUGCUGACGAGUGGCGAACGGGUGAGUAAUACAUCGGAACGUGCCUAGUAGUGGGGGAUAACUACUCGAAAGAGUGGCUAAUACCGCAUGAGAUCUACGGAUGAAAGCAGGGGAUCGCAAGACCUUGUGCUACUAGAGCGGCCGAUGGCAGAUUAGGUAGUUGGUGGGAUAAAAGCUUACCAAGCCGACGAUCUGUAGCUGGCCUGAGAGGACGAUCAGCCACACUGGGACUGAGACACGGCCCAGACUCCUACGGGAGGCAGCAGUGGGGAAUUUUGGACAAUGGGCGAAAGCCUGAUCCAGCAAUGCCGCGUGCUGGAUGAAGGCCUUCGGGUUGUAAACUGCUUUUGUACGGAACGAAAAGCUCUGGGUUAAUACCCUGGGGUCAUGACGGUACCGUAAGAAUAAGCACCGGCUAACUACGUGCCAGCCGCCGCCGUAA
rnacentral:rRNA from 1 species